UCAGUGCUAUAUGGGGAGGAUGAUUGCCCUUUGCCUCGAGGAGAUUCUCGGAGGAACAUAGACCGGCCAUCUGAGUCUUCGUCAGAGGAAUCUGAGGUAGGGUCGGAGGAAGAUGAUCUUGAUUCUGAGAAAGACGGCCUCCACCCUAGGUCAGAAGUGGCCCCUACUAUUAAUGUUGAGAGCUCUGGCCCCAGGGACACCGAGCUUCCUUCGGGGAUGGCUGUAAAUAGAGAUAAUGCAGGCGAGGGUGUACUUACUGAUGUAAGUCCUUUAAGGACUAUUUAUCCUCCUUCCU
rnacentral:lncRNA from 1 species